UAGGGAAUCUUCGGCAAUGGGGGCAACCCUGACCGAGCAACGCCGCGUGAGUGAAGAAGGUUUUCGGAUCGUAAAGCUCUGUUGUAAGAGAAGAACGUGUGUGAGAGUGGAAAGUUCACNCAGUGACGGUAACUUACCAGAAAGGGACGGCUAACUACGUGCCAG
rnacentral:rRNA from 1 species